AUGAACGCUAGCUACAGGCUUAACACAUGCAAGUCGAGGGGCAGCAUGGUCUUAGCUUGCUAAGGCCGAUGGCGACCGGCGCACGGGUGAGUAACACGUAUCCAACCUGCCGUCUACUCUUGGACAGCCUUCUGAAAGGAAGAUUAAUACAAGAUGGCAUCAUGAGUCCGCAUGUUCACAUGAUUAAAGGUAUUCCGGUAGACGAUGGGGAUGCGUUCCAUUAGAUAGUAGGCGGGGUAACGGCCCACCUAGUCUUCGAUGGAUAGGGGUUCUGAGAGGAAGGUCCCCCACAUUGGAACUGAGACACGGUCCAAACUCCUACGGGAGGCAGCAGUGAGGAAUAUUGGUCAAUGGGCGAGAGCCUGAACCAGCCAAGUAGCGUGAAGGAUGACUGCCCUAUGGGUUGUAAACUUCUUUUAUAAAGGAAUAAAGUCGGGUAUGGAUACCCGUUUGCAUGUACUUUAUGAAUAAGGAUCGGCUAACUCCGUGCCAGCAGCCGCGGUAAUACGGAGGAUCCGAGCGUUAUCCGGAUUUAUUGGGUUUAAAGGGAGCGUAGAUGGAUGUUUAAGUCAGUUGUGAAAGUUUGCGGCUCAACCGUAAAAUUGCAGUUGAUACUGGAUAUCUUGAGUGCAGUUGAGGCAGGCGGAAUUCGUGGUGUAGCGGUGAAAUGCUUAGAUAUCACGAAGAACUCCGAUUGCGAAGGCAGCCUGCUAAGCUGCAACUGACAUUGAGGCUCGAAAGUGUGGGUAUCAAACAGGAUUAGAUACCCUGGUAGUCCACACGGUAAACGAUGAAUACUCGCUGUUUGCGAUAUACUGCAAGCGGCCAAGCGAAAGCGUUAAGUAUUCCACCUGGGGAGUACGCCGGCAACGGUGAAACUCAAAGGAAUUGACGGGGGCCCGCACAAGCGGAGGAACAUGUGGUUUAAUUCGAUGAUACGCGAGGAACCUUACCCGGUCUUGACAUCCCCCUGACCGGCAAGUAAUGUUGCCUUUCCUUCGGGACAGGGGAGACAGGUGGUGCAUGGUUGUCGUCAGCUCGUGCCGUGAGGUGUCGGCUUAAGUGCCAUAACGAGCGCAACCCUUAUCGAUAGUUACUACCAGGUGAAGCUGAGGACUCAAUCGAGACUGCCAGCGUAAGCUGCGAGGAAGGUGGGGAUGACGUCAAAUCAGCACGGCCCUUACGUCCGGGGCUACACACGUGUUACAAUGGGGGGUACAGAGGGCCGCUACCACGCGAGUGGAUGCCAAUCCCCAAAACCUCUCUCAGUUCGGACUGGAGUCUGCAACCCGACUCCACGAAGCUGGAUUCGCUAGUAAUCGCGCAUCAGCCACGGCGCGGUGAAUACGUUCCCGGGCCUUGUACACACCGCCCGUCAAGCCAUGGGAGCCGGGGGUACCUGAAGUGCGUAACCGCGAGGAGCGCCCUAGGGUAAAACUGGUGACUGGGGCU
rnacentral:rRNA from 1 species